CCCUCCCUCCCCACAAAUGUCGCCAUUUCGAUAUGCGAUCCGUUUCGGCAAUUUCUGUCUUCGACUUCGUCGAUUUUCUCGCAAGAUUUCACGCUUCCAUUCUCAGUCUUUUCUCCAGAGUUUUUUGCACGGCAUUUUCCAACCGCGUGCCCUCUUCCACCUCCGGAUUCAAGUAAGGACGUGGC